rnacentral:rRNA from 1 species
AGCGAACGCUGGCGGCAGGCCUAACACAUGCAAGUCGAACGAACCUUUCGGGGUUAGUGGCGGACGGGUGAUUAACACGUGGGAACGUGCCUUUAGGUUCGGAAUAACUCAGGGAAACUUGUGCUAAUACCGAAUGUGCCCUUCGGGGGAAAGAUUAAUCGCCUUUAGAGCGGCCCGCGUCUGAUUAGCUAGUUGGUUGAGGUAAUGGCUCACCAAGGCGACGAUCAGUAGCUGGUCUGAGAGGAUGAUCAGCCACAUUGGGACUGAGACACGGCCCAAACUCCUACGGGAGGCAGCAGUGGGGAAUCUUGCGCAAUGGGCGAAAGACUGACGCAGCCAUGCCGCGUGAAUGAUGAAGGUCUUAGGAUUGUAAAAUUCUUUCAACGGGGACGAUAAUGACGGUACCCGGAGAAGAAGCCCCGGCUAACUUCGUG